AAUUUAUUGGUGGAUAUCUGGUCACUAACAUGGUACAAUGUCCAAUGAAACAUUAUAUUCGUCAUCAGUCUAUUCAGAACAUGCCUGCAUUGAAUUGUCGGAACAACUUAUUCGGUUCGUUCCUGAAAUUUUACAAUCAUCAAAUUGAAAUUCGAUUUAUGAUUAUGUUCGAGAUCAAUUCGGCGGUUCCAUUGUUCAUCAGCAUCCAAUUCAAGAAUAGUUUGACCAUGUUCAACACAUGAUAUCA